rnacentral:rRNA from 1 species
AGAGUGGCGAACGGGUGAGUAAUGCGUGACCGACCUGCCCCAUGCUCCGGAAUAGCUCCUGGAAACGGGUGGUAAUGCCGGAUGUUCCACAUGAUCGCAUGUGAUUGUGGGAAAGAUUCUAUCGGCGUGGGAUGGGGUCGCGUCCUAUCAGCUUGUUGGUGAGGUAACGGCUCACCAAGGCUUCGACGGGUAGCCGGCCUGAGAGGGCGACCGGCCACAUUGGGACUGAGAUACGGCCCAGACUCCUACGGGAGGCAGCAGUGGGGAAUAUUGCACAAUGGGCGCAAGCCUGAUGCAGCGACGCCGCGUGAGGGAUGGAGGCCUUCGGGUUGUAAACCUCUUUUGUUUGGGAGCAAGCCUUCGGGUGAGUGUACCUUUCGAAUAAGCGCCGGCUAACUACGUGCCAGCAGCCGCGGUAAUACGUAGGGCGCAAGCGUUAUCCGGAUUUAUUGGGCGUAAAGGGCUCGUAGGCGGCUCGUCGCGUCCGGUGUGAAAGUCCAUCGCUUAACGGUGGAUCCGCGCCGGGUACGGGCGGGCUUGAGUGCGGUAGGGGAGACUGGAAUUCCCGGUGUAACGGUGGAAUGUGUAGAUAUCGGGAAGAACACCAAUGGCGAAGGCAGGUCUCUGGGCCGUCACUGACGCUGAGGAGCGAAAGCGUGGGGAGCGAACAGGAUUAGAUACCCUGGUAGUCCACGCCGUAAACGGUGGAUGCUGGAUGUGGGGACCAUUCCACGGUCUCCGUGUCGGAGCCAACGCGUUAAGCAUCCCGCCUGGGGAGUACGGCCGCAAGGCUAAAACUCAAAGAAAUUGACGGGGGCCCGCACAAGCGGCGGAGCAUGCGGAUUAAUUCGAUGCAACGCGAAGAACCUUACCUGGGCUUGACAUGUUCCCGACAGCCGUAGAGAUACGGUCUCCCUUCGGGGCGGGUUCACAGGUGGUGCAUGGUCGUCGUCAGCUCGUGUCGUGAGAUGUUGGGUUAAGUCCCGCAACGAGCGCAACCCUCGCCCUGUGUUGCCAGCACGUCGUGGUGGGAACUCACGGGGGACCGCCGGGGUCAACUCGGAGGAAGGUGGGGAUGACGUCAGAUCAUCAUGCCCCUUACGUCCAGGGCUUCACGCAUGCUACAAUGGCCGGUACA